rnacentral:lncRNA from 1 species
UAGUAAUGAGAUAAGUCAGGGAGAUUGUGUACCUCAAUCGAUCCAAUCGCUGCUUGAGUUUGAGAUGAAAAAUCUACCUCGGACAACAGCUGAAGUUAGUACCUUAGGUCGGGAGGCUCUAGAAUCUCCUAUAAGGGAUUUCUUGGAUUACUUCAGUCCAAGAACUGAAUAGUCUAUCCUGACCAAUCUCGAUCUUCAGAAA